rnacentral:lncRNA from 10 species
CCUGCCCACCCCUCCUCUAUCACUUUGCGCAUGAUUGCACUAGAAAGAACCACAUGGGGUUUAUUCUUCCCUCUUUCAAGAAACCUAAUGAAAUUGGGCUGAGAUUCCAAGGAACUCCUGGAAAAGAGUUAUCAGUGCCAGAAUGAAAGAUCCUAGAGGCAGAGCCCACCGUUCUACUCUAUUUAUAGUGGUGAAAGUUUGUACAUUUUGAAGAUGAUUUCCAUGGAAGACUGUACAGAGCUACAAACUAGAUGUUGGAAUGGAUUUGAGGAUCCUGCCAGAGACUGAAGAUGCUGGCUCAGAUAUAUCUCAGAAUAGAGUUUGGCUCUCCCUACUUUCAUUCAACAGCUUCACUCAUUUAGACCUAGCAACCCAACCUCACACCCUCCACUCUCACACCGUUAGAAUGACCCUUUGGAGCCUCAACUUUUGACCUGCCUUGCUCCAUCCCCUUUUCACAAGGGCAGGUUUAUUGUCUACUGGCAAUCUUGACUAGGGCCUUGGAAG